rnacentral:misc_RNA from 1 species
AAAGUCGUAACAAGGUCUCCGUUGGUGAACCAGCGGAGGGAUCAUUACGAGAGUGUCACAACUCCCAACCCACUGUUUACCUACCCGUCCAACGUGCUUCGGCAGGCAGCCCUGUGGGACAGAGCCUCGCCCCCCCGGGGGGUGCCUGCCGGUGGCCAACCAACAUUCCAGUCGUCUCAGUACCAUCCGAGUCAAACACAAAAUGAACAAAACUUUCAACAACGGAUCUCUUGGUUCUG